AAACAUCAAACGUGAUCAUUCAAAAUCAAGCGAAAGAUAAACAUAGUUAGUGAUAAAAAGAAAAAAAGAUAAAUGAAAUCAUAAAACAAAAACUAAGUUCUCAUGAAAUGAGAAACAUUAUUCAAUGAAAACAAAACCAAAAUCUAAAAACUUUAGGCUUCAACCGCCACAUUCCACCAUCAACCUUCAUGUAAUAGAUAAUUAUUUUAAAAGUUCAAUAAUAUCCUAAAGUAUUUUAGAUACAUAUUAAGAAUUAAGAUCAUAUUUGGUAGAAGUUCUUUUUGUCAUUUUAUAUGUUUCGGGUUCUAUCGGAUAUCCAUUUAGGUUCGGGUUCAGUUUGGAUAAUACCCGUAACCCAAAAUACCAAAAAAACAGGAUCCAUUCGGUAUUUAUAUCGGGUUCGGAUCGGUUCGGAUUCGUUUUUAUCGGAUCAUGUUCGGUUCGGAUUUUCGGGUUCGGUUUAUUUGCCCAACCUUAAAAUUUUUCAUACAAAUAAAAGGAUUGAUGAUGAUGAGGUCAUCAGCUUUUAAGACAGAGUGCUGAGGUAGAGAUCUUUUAAUUUUCUUCUUAUGCUUUCCGUUUGGUGUGGUUCAUUCAAAUUAACUCUCAGUCAGUCUUCUCUGCUUAAGACUCUUCAUCACCGUAAUCUAUCCAUAAUUUUGCAGAAGCUCUCCAAUGUUUAAAAUCUCAUUCUCUAAGGUAAAUCCAGUGAGAAUGGACGAGCUUCACUCAUAGUUAUAAGUUCAAAGAUUACAGAUGCAUGCUCUCCUAUUGGGACAGGUGGUUGGUCUUGAGUCUUAUCUACAAUCUUACGUUCAUGCAUGGGAGAUCCGACGUUUUUAUAAUCUUUCUUCUUAUCCUUAUUGUCUUGCACAUCCUGUUUACGCUUCGGUGUCUUCUUGUCUUCAAACG